rnacentral:rRNA from 1 species
GAUGAACGCUGGCGGCGUGCUUAACACAUGCAAGUCGAACGAUGAAGCCCAGCUUGCUGGGUGGAUUAGUGGCGAACGGGUGAGUAACACGUGAGUAACCUGCCCUUAACUCUGGGAUAAGCCUGGGAAACUGGGUCUAAUACCGGAUAGGAGCGUCCACCGCAUGGUGGGUGUUGGAAAGAUUUAUCGGUUUUGGAUGGACUCGCGGCCUAUCAGCUUGUUGGUGAGGUAAUGGCUCACCAAGGCGACGACGGGUAGCCGGCCUGAGAGGGUGACCGGCCACACUGGGACUGAGACACGGCCCAGACUCCUACGGGAGGCAGCAGUGGGGAAUAUUGCACAUGGGCGCAAGCCUGAUGCAGCGACGCCGCGUGAGGGAUGACGGCCUUCGGGUUGUAAACCUCUUUCAGUAGGGAAGAAGCGAAAGUGACGGUACCUGCAGAAGAAGCACCGGCUAACUACGUG